rnacentral:rRNA from 1 species
UACGUAGGGGGCUAGCGUUAUCCGGAAUUACUGGGCGUAAAGGGUGCGUAGGUGGUUUCUUAAGUCAGAGGUGAAAGGCUACGGCUCAACCGUAGUGAGCCUUUGAAACUGGGAAACUUGAGUGCAGAAGAGGAUAGUGGAAUUCCAAGUGUAGCGGUGAAAUGCGUAGAGAUUUGGAGGAACACCAGUGGCGAAGGCGACUAUCUGGUCUGUAACUGACACUGAGGCGCGAAAGCGUGGGGAGCAAACAGG